rnacentral:rRNA from 1 species
UACGGGGGGAGCAAGCGUUGUUCGGAUUUACUGGGCGUAAAGGGCGCGUAGGCGGUGCGGUAAGUCACUUGUGAAAUCUCUGAGCUUAACUCAGAACGGCCAAGUGAUACUGCAGUACUAGAGUGCGGAAGGGGCAAUCGGAAUUCUUGGUGUAGCGGUGAAAUGCGUAGAUAUCAAGAGGAACACCUGAGGUGAAGACGGGUUGCUGGGCCGACACUGACGCUGAUGCGCGAAAGCCAGGGGAGCAAGCGGG